CCUGAGACAGCCACGGCUGCAGGCACAGACGCUCAGCUUUUUUCUGUGUGCUGCUGGCUACAACAGCAGUGCUCCUUGGAAAAGACAAAGCAGUUGUGUGCAAAAGUACCAGCACAACUCCCACAAACACAGCAGAUUGCAGCAGCAAACAGAAGCAGAUACAAACACUGCAGAUCGCAGCAGCAAACAGAAGGAGAUACAAACACUGCAGAUCGCAGCAGCAAACAGAAGCAGAUACAAACACUGCAGAUCGCAGCAGCAAACAGAAACAGAUUCUUCCUCUCUCCCGGUCAGUCGGCCAGCACAGUGGUAUGAGUAAGAGGAGGUUAAGGGGUUGCUGGGGGAGAAGGGCUGGAUACUCUGUGGAAAAUCAUCUGACAUCCCCUUUGUAACAGACUAUUUGAACAUGGGAAACAAUGAAGAAAUAUUCACCUCCACUUAUAGGACCUUUGUCCUUUGUCCAUUUAAAAAUAAUGAUGAGAGGUAGUCAAAAAUAACAUUAUUUCAAGACAUUUUUUUAAGUUGCUUUGUUUGACAGGAUUUCAGAAAAUUUUAUUCUGUGAAUUUGGGGAAGUUUCAAAAUUUUUUUUGCAAAAACAUAUAGCAACAGAUAUGAAAACUAUACAAAGGCUGGCGACAUAGCUUGGUUGGCAGAGUACUUUCUUAGUGUAUGUAAAACCUUGAGUUUGGUUCUCAGCAGUGCAUAAAUAGAACAUGUGGUUAUGUGUCUAUCAUCUCAGCACUGAGGAAGGUGGAGGCAGGAGGAUCAGAAGUUCAAGAUCACUCUUGAUGACAUAUGGGAUUCAAAGGUAGCCUGGACUAAAUGAGUCCCUGUCUCAGAAAGAAAAAAGAAACAGUCUAGGCCAGUGAGAUGGUUUAGCAGGUGAGGCCAGCUACCAUCCCUUUGACGGUCUGAGUUCCAUUUCUGAAAGAAGAGAACUCACUCUUGUAAGUGCUUCUCUGAGUUUGACAUGUAUGUUGUGGCAUUCCCCUGCAUCCACGCUACCCAAAAUAUAUAAGUAAAAAAAUAUAGAAUUGAUUUUAAAAAUUCUUAAAAUAUGAACCAAGUUCUGCUCUAUUUGGUGAAUCAACAUUUUUGCUGGAAAGGGGCAGAGCCAUGAACGGGACUGAAGGACAAAAAUGAAUACCGCUGGCAGUUGUAGCUGAAGACAGGUGUGGAGGAAGUUCAUCUAGCCCGAGCGCAGUAAACAAGGAGCAGAAAGCAAAUGUGAUAGCCAAGCAGCUUGAGAGGGAGUAAAUCCAGCGUGGUCUCACACUUGCUCUUCAUGUCCAGAGCAAGCGGACAAUAGACCUAUGAUCUGCUCUAAUUCUAAAGGCGGGACUCAGAAACGGACACUUCAUCUAUACAAAAGUUUUCCACUGGAUUCAUUGACAUGAUGAGAUUUUCAGUGGUGGGCACAGAGGAACACUUUAGAGACUACAGUGUAAAGCACCCGUGCCUUACUGACAUACAGCUAGCUGACUCAAGUUUGUUUAUAUAUCUUUUGGGAUAGUUUAAAAAAAUAAAGACAAUAUCUAGAAAACUCUUCCCUGAAUAAAAAUCAUAAAAUGUGUUGUAAAUAGACAGGACUUUGAGGGACAGUGUCACUCUCUGUGUAAUGUUAGCUGGCAGCUGAGCAGAAGCUAAGCCAGCUGCCUGUAACUGCAGUGUGAAAGCCGAUUUAAAAUAUUUUGGGUAUAGUGCUUCUUCCCUCUCUGUAUCACUGCAACACUGAGAUUCACAAGGGAACCUUAACCAGUUUAAUGGAAUUAUAUGGACAUGCACAUCAAUGAGUCAGAAUCUGACACAUACUUGCAGAAAUCCCCAGGGUGGUGACCCAGUGGGAGGUCUCUCUGGAAGGGCCUUUAUAGCACAUGAGGUUUUAAUUUCUGCUUCGGAAAUAAGAUCUUGUUAACAUCUUGGUGACUGAGAUUCGAGACUAAACACCAUAUUGGGAUUCUGAACCACUGCGCAUUUCAGCUGUAGGAUAAAUCCAGGGGAGAGGUGCAUUUCCCUUCUAGUAUGUCCCUGAGCAGGGAGCGCACUGUUAUUUGCCCAAUUUCUUUCCCUGUAUGCAUGGCCACCACAUACUCUGGGGAGGAGGCCCAACCUGCAGCCAUUCAUUUUCUGGUCCCACCAGUCUUUGUGACUCUCCAGUUACUUUACAAACCAAGGGAUCUGUACAGACUACUCAAUCCAUCUACCACUGAACCACAGCCCCGCCCAGCUACUGUUCUCAGGGUUUUGAUAGACAAGGAAUAAACAGACAUUGCCUCUUAGUAUCUACACCCUGACCUGAAGGAAGGAGUACCUACUCCAAGGUCUGUUCCUCUUUUAAUAUAAAAUAACCGCAUGCACCGUUAAGUCAUACCGGCAUUUGAGCUGUCGGUACAGGCCCUCAUGUUUUCCCUUGUUGGCUACCAUCCCUUUUAUUCGCAAAGCCUGUCUACAAAAUAAACGGAACGUAGUCUGCCUCUCCAACAUGAGGUGCAAUUACAGUCACCAUUAUGGUUGAGCAGGAAGUUCUGGUGAUGAAGUAGGUUAUUUUUGUGAAUGAACAGAGCAACAACAGUCAGUCUCCCUCUCACACCCAACUAUGCAAACCUAUAACAUCAGAGGAAGAGGAUGUACCUAACCCUGUAGAGACUUGAUGUGCCAGGGUGGGGGGAUGUCCGGGGGUGGGGGGACGCCCUCUUAGAGGAAAAGGGGAGAGUGAUGGAGGGGAGGGACUCUGUGAAGGACUGGGUGGCAAUGGUUAGGAUGUAAAAAUAAACAAACAAACU
rnacentral:lncRNA from 1 species